rnacentral:rRNA from 1 species
GUGGGGAAUUUUGCGCAAUGGGCGAAAGCCUGACGCAGCAACGCCGCGUGGAGGAUGAAGGCCUUCGGGUCGUAAACUCCUGUCGAUGGGGACGAAGUAUUCGCAAGAGUAUUGACUGUACCCGUUGAGGAAGCCACGGCUAACUCCGUGCCAGCAGCCGCGGUAAUACGGGGGUGGCAAGCGUUGUUCGGAAUUACUGGGCGUAAAGGGCGCGUAGGCGGCAGUACAAGUCAGAUGUGAAAGCCCCGGGCUUAACCCGGGAAUUGCAUCUGAAACUGUUCUGCUUGAGUUCUGGAGGGGGUAGUGGAAUUCCCAGUGUAGCGGUGAAAUGCGUAGAUAUUGGGAGGAACACCUGCGGCGAAGGCGGCUACCUGGACAGUGACUGACGCUGAGGCGCGAAAGCUAGGGGAGCGAACGGGAUUAGAUACCCUGGUAGUCC